rnacentral:rRNA from 1 species
GACGAACGCUGGCGGCGUGCUUAACACAUGCAAGUCGAACGGAAAGGCCCUGCUUUUGUGGGGUGCUCGAGUGGCAAACGGGAGAGUAACACGUGAGUAACCUGCCCUUGACUUUGAGAUAACUUCAAGAAACUGGGGCUAAUACCAGAUAAGAGCUCCUGCUGCAUGGUGGGGGUUGGAAAGUUUCGGCGGUUGGGAGAUGGACUCGCGGCUUAUCAGCUCGUUGGUGGGGUAGUGACUUACCAAGGCUUUGACAGGUAGCCGGCCUGAGAGGGUGACCGGCCACAUUGUGACUGAGAUACCGCCCACACUCCUACGGGAGGCAGCAGUGAGAAAUAUUGCACAAUGGGCGGAAGCCUGAUGCAGCAACGCCGCGUGAGGAAUGACUGCCUUCGGGUUGUAAACCGCUUUCGCCUGUAACUAAGCGUGAGUGACCGUAAUGGGUAAAGAAGCACCGAGCUAACUACGUGCCAGCAGCCGCGGUGAUACGUAUGGUGCGAGCGUUGUCCGGAUUUAUUGGGCGUAAAGGGCUCGUAGGUGGUUUGUCGCGUCGUCUGUGAAAUUCUGGUGCUUAACCCUGAGCGUGCAGGCGAUACGGGCAUAACUUGAGUGUUGUAGGGGUAACUGGAAUUCCUGGUGUAGCGGUGAAAUGCGCAGAUAUCAGGAGGAACACCGAUGGCGAGGGCAGGUUACUGGGCAGUUACUGACGCUGAGGAGCGAAAGCAUGGGUAGCGAACAGGAUUAGAUACCCUGGUAGUCCAUGCCGUAAACGGUGGGCGCUAGGUGUGAGGGUCUUUCUACGACUUUCGUGCCGUAGCUAACGCAUUAAGCGCCCCGCCUGGGGAGUACGGCCGCAAGGCUAAAACUCAAAGGAAUUGACGGGGGCCCGCACAAGCGGCGGAGCUUGUGGAUUAAUUCGAUGCAACGCGAAGAACCUUACCUGGGCUUGACAUACAUCAGAUUGGGCUAGAGAUAGUUCGUCCCUUUGUGGUUGGUGUACAGGUGGUGCAUGGUUGUCGUCAGCUCGUGUCGUGAGAUGUUGGGUUAAGUCCCGCAACGAGCGCAACCCUUGUCUUAUGUUGCCAGCACGUUAUGGCGGGGACUCAGUGGAGACCGCCGGGGUCAACUCGGAGGAAGGUGGGGAUGACGUCAAGUCAUCAUGCCCCUUAUGUCCAGGGCUUCACGCAUGCUACAAUGGCUGGUACAGAGAGUGGCGACCCUGUGAGGGUGAGCGAAUCUCGGAAAGCCGGUCUCAGUUCGGAUUGGGGUCUGCAACUCGACCUCAUGAAGUCGGAGUCGCUAGUAAUCGCAGAUCAGCAACGCUGCGGUGAAUACGUUCCCGGGCCU